AUUUUUUUUUAUCCAAUCCACUGAUGGUGGGCACCUAGGUCGAUUCUAUGUCUUUGCUAUUGUGAUUAGUGCUGCAUUGUACAUAUACUUCUAUAUUCUAGGACAACUUGCCGUCAAGAUAUUUGUACACAUAAAUGACCAUUGUUGUAAAACAUAGCAUCAUGUGUCUGUAUUUCAUGACUUAAAUGCUAUUUCAAAAGGACCUUAGUUUUUACUUAAACUCAAAACAUUUUUAUUUCUAUUUUUGCUUUAUGAUUUUUUAAGCUUACUGAAAAGUACAGAAAACAAUAAAUAUUCUCGUACUUCCCUCUUAUAUAAAAUGGUGCCACCAUCUUGUCACAUUUCCUUCAGAUUUUCUUACAACAGAACAAAGCUUACAGAGGUUGCUGAAACUCCACCUGUCCAUCCCAUUCACCUCUUUUCCUCUCUGAAUGUUUCUAUCUUUAAAUGUUCACACAAUGACAAAAAUCAUCUAACAACACUUCUCAGAACAUAUACAUGCCAGUUAGCUGUGCAUGACUGUGUUUAUAAUAUAUACUAUUACUUAUAUUGGAUUAUCAGUAUAUAUAUGUGUACACAUACACAUAUACACAUAUACACUUGUUUUGGGAAGAUUUAAACUUGUACUUAACUUUUUCAUUCAAAAAUAAGGUUUUCAAGAGCUGAGUGAGGUGCCUCAUGCAUCUGAUCCCAGCUAUUCACGAAGCUAAGGUGGGAGGAUAGCUUGAGCCCAGAAGUUCAAGGCCAGCCUGGGCAACAUAGCAAGUUUCUGUCUCUAAAAAACUAAAAAAUAAAGAAAGGGUAACAAUUUUUUUAAAAGUGAGCCAAAAGUAAUGUUUUGAGAGAUUCAACCAUAUUGAUGCUUGCAGUUUUAGUUUAUUUUAACUUGAGAAGAGAAUGUGGCUAUUAAAUUGCUGGUAAGAAGGUACAAAUAUCUAGUAGACCAAUUUGGAAGAAACAAAUAAAUUUGGGAGAAUGUAUAUCCUAUGGCCCAGCAAUUUCACUUCUCUGCAUGAGAAACUCUUACACAUGUGCACAAAAAUAUCUACAAGGUUGUUCGCAGCAAUGGCUUUAAUAGUGAAAACCUGGAAGUAAUUUAAGUGGCCCUCAUUAGUAACAUGGGCAAACAGUGGAAUAUUAUACAGCAGUGAAAAUAACAUUUUAAUAAAAUGAAUUAUAGUAAUGAGAAAAAUUGUCAAACUAUUAACCACAUAUAAAUCUACAAACAAUACUUGAUAAAAUAUGGGUGCAAAAAAUAUUUUUAAUAUUAGGCACUUUAUGAGCAAGAUGUUUUCUCUUAUACCCUAUUCAUCAUAAUUUUUACAUAAUCUAUUUCCUUUUUAAAUGAAUAUGUUGGGCUUGCAUGAGAUAAUUACAGAAGAAUAAUAAGACAUUUUCAAAAAAUAUGCAGGUUAAUAAAUGGGCAAGAUCUAUUUUGCAAUUUUUCUCCAACAUGUUUGUGUGAUGCUGAGUGGCAACUCUUUAUAUUAUCUCUUAGUGGGCCACAAUCAAAGAACUGCAUAAAUUAGUGUUAUUUAUGGGUUAUCUGCUUUAAGAAAAUCUGGCAUAUUAAAACAUAGACUUAAAAAUAUAUAGUAAGCUGGGGAUUUUUAAAAAUAGAGGUAUACUUGGAUUUAUAAUUGGAAACACCUUUGCAUAGGAACACUCCCAGCAUCUUAAAUAUGGCUUACUAUAUAAAAUUUAUUUUUUCAAAGCUUCAAGAAUACAUCUGUUUCAUAAAGAAGAAAAAUAUAUUCGUAGUAGUAAUUUUAGCACUAAAUAAUGAUUGACACUUCAAUGCCACAUAUUAGUAGCUCUAGUGAUAAAACUCUAUCAAAGAUGAAGAUAAUCAAUCAGUUUACUGCUCCCGCUUCCAAAGUCUGAUAUUUAUUUGAGGUUAAUCGUGGUAUCAUUCUUUAAUUUCAUAUCUUGUCAUGUUCAUCACUGUGAAGUUGAGGUAAAAUUCUUUUAACUCAUUCUGUAAAACUGUUAAGCUAUAAAUCAGAUGUUCGUUAAAGUCAAGUAGAGUUCAGUCUUAUGAUUUCAUUCUCCUCAAGAAUCAUUGAGCAAUCUUUUCCCUGUGAAACAAGUACUUCAAUGAGGAUUGAUUUUGCAGCUCAAAUAGGAUGGUUAUUUUUACUGGCCAUUCACCAUGUUCAUUUAUCCUAGAUUUUACCAGUUAUGCACUUCUGGGUACCAUCUGAACUGUGGAAGGAGCAAAUGGGAUGCCAGGGAAGAGGAAAGGGCCAUAUAGAAGUUAAAGGACACAAUAACUCAUGAAAUUAUCCAGUGAGAAUUCUGCAGGACUGCAUGCAGAGGUACUCAGUAAGUUAAUUUAGGCAACUGCAGUAAUGGCUUUCUUUGCUUAGCACGAUAUAUUAAAUAUUUUGCAAAAAAUAAAAUUACAUGUAGAAUGACAUAUGCCUAUAGAAAUUCUAUAAUUUGAUGGGUUCCUUCCUAAGGAAAAGGGGAUAUUAAUUAUUAUAAAUGAUAAAAAGUUUACUUCCAUUCAUGUAAAAUAUAAAAUUUCCUCUUUGCUUAGAAUUACCUUUUAAAAUAUGGAGUGUUACUAUCUGAUCUGUAUGUAUCUUAAUCCUAUUGCAAAUCUUUUGAUUUGGUGAUACAGCAAAGAAUAUGCUAUGUCUUUCCCUACCCCACUAAGUUUAUUACGUUUAAAAGAUAAUUAUAAUGCUAUUGCAUUAAAUGUAUAAGUUGUUUACAGAGAAAAUGUUACCUUUGUAAAUUUUAUUAUGCCCUCUUCAGUUCAGAAAUGUGGAGGCACACCACUGACUACACAAUAGCUUAGGCCCACCUUUCAAGUUAUUUCUAAUAUGACUCUUUCAUGGUGUCUUUGCUCCAAAUAAACUGAACUAGUCAGUGUUUCUCCAGUAAUUUUUAUUCUUUUCUGCCUCUCUGACUUUGCUCAAUCUAUUUUUCCACCUGGUAUUCUUUCCUUGGUGUUCAGUCCAAAUCCCAAACACAUCAUUCCCCUUAACCACAUAGGGAGGUGGUGACAUUCUUGCUACUUCCACCAUGGGGCGUACUAAAUAACUGCUUAUUCACUUCAGUCUAUAUUGUCAAGUUGUGAAAACUGAUAUCCUGGAUCAUUAGAAUUCACUGCGUGUCUGUCAGUUAUCAAUAGGCUAAACCGCAGAAAAUAAAGCUAGAAUAUGUCUUUGUAUUGAAUCCAUUUACUCUUUUCUCAAUGUUUGACAUGUAUAAAUAAUACAGAUAUCCUUUGCCAAGAUAUAGAUGUUAGAAUUGUCUCUAUAGACUAAAAGAAAUGCAAGUUGCUUCUUUGUGGAAGCUUUGUGCUUUCUUAAAAUAGGAAACUUUAAGUAGGUGCAGAUUGACAUGUUGAAGCAUUUUGGUGUAACUAUUCUUAAAAAUGCCUAGAGCUUUUACUGUCCAAGUUUUUUUGCUUUUGUUUUUGUUUUGGGGGUUUUUUUUUUUUGGUUUUUUUUUUU